AAUACUUUGAGAAAGCAAAGUAUAUAAAAAGGCCCGAGAUUUAACGGGACUUAAAAUAAAACGGGUUGUGAACAAGAUAAAGUAACUAGGAAAUAAAUAACUUAGUACAAGUCUUGUAAUUAAAUGAAAGAAGUUAGUUUGAUGUGAAAAUAGUCUAAAAAUAUAAACUAAAGGGGCUGAUUAUGUAUAAGUGGCCAAACUAGACUUUUAUAAAAAAAAAAAGAAAUCAAACACACACACAUCAGUGUGUGCGUGGGGAACGACCAGAGCAGGAAGAAAAAGGGUAAAACCCUAAACUCCACAAAAUCUUCUAAUUGAAGGUGCAAUUGAAGACCAAACUCGGAUUUGAAUACAUAUAAACGAUCACCGAGCUAAGGGGAUCGUAAGUUGGCUCUAAACAAGCUAGGUGGGAGCUUGGAAAGGAACGGGUCAAACGGAUCAUGGAUGCGAAGAAUGUUUGCGCGAACGCGAGUUAAAUGUUCGCAGGAGUGAACGGGAAGUGGAUUAUUGCGUUGCUAUAAAGUAGCGGCUAAUAAAAGAAAGGUACAAAACGGGUCUAUAUGUUGACUCGAGCCAGGUACGCAUUAAUUAGAUCAUGGCGAUAUGCGUAGUUGAAUUUUAGAAUAUAAGUUACUAUGAAAUAUAGCGAUGAUAUCGCUACAUUGAAUAUUUGGUCAAAAGAUGGUUAGAACUCGUUGGUAGUCGUCAAAAAGGAAGGAAUUCCGUAGACGAGCCAAACGGGUCGAAUAAUCAGGUAAGGCAUGGUUAUUGUUUCGGAUUAUGAUGGUUUGAUGGUUGAUUUUGAAUAUUUUAUAACAUAUUAGAAAUAUGAGGUUUUAACGAAUUAGUAUCAUAGAAAACUGAAAACCGAGAGUUGGGUCUUGGAGUAAUGAUCAAACAAAACAAAACCUGACAUUCCAGGUACUACCGUAAAUUACGGUGGUUGUGAUAUGGUUUACGGAGCAGAUCUCCUGGUUUACGGUGACCAGACACUUCCAGGUCUCACCGUAAAUUACGGUGAUACCGUAAUUUACGGUGGAUUCAGAAUCACUUUUUAUAUUUUUGUUAUUUCUAAUGUGGCAUUAAGCCUUGGGAUUAUAUUAUUAUAUAACAACGUCAAAACUAAUGAUUUUAACGGUUUUGAUCAUAGGUGAAUGCCAAGAGUGCCCGGAUGAAGAUCAAGCUCGAUGAGGAACCGAACACAAUAAAAUCUAACACUCGGGAUUAAAGCUUCCGCACGGCGUUACGCCAUAUCUUUUAAACAACGAACUUAUCUAUAUUAUGUUGAAAACUUUUAAGUUGUAAAAGUUUUAGAUUACUUGUAUUUUCUAAGAAUACUUAAUCGAAAUUUCAUGUUUAUUUUCGUUAUUUAUACGAAAACUUUAAAAAUUA